GCCGGAUGUGGUGGCAUGCAUCUGUAGUCCCAGCUACUUGGGAUGCUGAGGUGGGAGGAUCACUUGAACCCAGGAGUUCGAGGCUGCAGUGAUUUAUGAUAGUGCCACUGCACUCCAGCCUGGGCAACAAAGUGAGACCCCAUCUCUU
rfam:Gorilla gorilla gorilla genomic chromosome, chr6, whole genome shotgun sequence